AUGGUUAAGUGACUAAGCGUACACGGUGGAUGCCUAGGCAGUUGGAGGCGAUGAAGGACGUACUAACUUGCGAUAAGCCAUGACGAGACAGUAAGAGUCGUUAUCAGUCAUGGAUUUCCGAAUGGGGCAACCCACUCUGUUUACAGAGUAUCCGGCACUGAAUAUAUAGGUGCUUGGAGGCAAACCCGGAGAACUGAAACAUCUAAGUACCCGGAGGAAAAGAAAUCAACCGAGAUUUCCCUAGUAGCGGCGAGCGAACGGGAAGCAGCCCUUAAGCUGACAAUGCGUUAACAGAAUCUGUUGGGAAGCAGAGGCCAUAGACGGUGAUAGCCCGGUAUGUGACGGCGCAUAGUGAGUGAAAACGAGUAGGUCGGGACACGUGUUAUCUUGACUGAAUAUGGGGGGACCAUCCUCCAAGGCUAAAUACUCCCAACUGACCGAUAGUGAACCAGUACCGUGAGGGAAAGGCGAAAAGAACCCCGGCGAGGGGAGUGAAAUAGAACCUGAAACCGUGUACGUACAAGCAGUAGGAGCCUCCUUGUGGGGUGACUGCGUACCUUUUGUAUAAUGGGUCAGCGACUUAUAUUUUGUAGCAAGGUUAACCGAAUAGGGGAGCCGUAGGGAAACCGAGUCUUAACUGGGCGUCGAGUUGCAAGGUAUAGACCCGAAACCGGGCGAUCUAGCCAUGAGCAGGUUGAAGAUUGAGUAACAUCAAUUGGAGGACCGAACCCACUAAUGUUGAAAAAUUAGGGGAUGACUUGUGGUUAGGAGUGAAAGGCUAAUCAAGCCCGGAGAUAGCUGGUUCUCCCCGAAAUCUAUUUAGGUAGAGCCUCGGAUGAAUACCUACGGGGGUAGAGCACUGUUUGGGCUAGGGGGUCAUCCCGACUUACCAACCCCAUGCAAACUCCGAAUACCGUAGAGUACUAUCCGGGAGACACACGGCGGGUGCUAACGUCCGUCGUGGAGAGGGAAACAACCCAGACCGCCAGCUAAGGUCCCAAAGUUAUGGCUCAGUGGGAAACGAUGUGGGAAGGCAUAGACAGCUAGGAGGUUGGCUUAGAAGCAGCCACCCUUUAAAGAAAGCGUAAUAGCUCACUAGUCGAGUCGGCCUGCGCGGAAGAUGUAACGGGGCUAAGCCAUACACCGAAGCUGCGGCAGUGUAUGUAUCACCACAGGCUAUUCCGCUUACGCACAGCAUGUGCGAAAGCGUCCCAACACUAGUUGCGGAUAACGGAGUAGUUUGCGGGAUACAUACACUGGGUAGGGGAGCGUUCUGUAAGCGGAUGAAGGUGUGUUGAGAAGCAUGCUGGACGUAUCAGAAGUGCGAAUGCUGACAUGAGUAACGAUAAUGCGGGUGAAAAACCCGCACGCCGGAAGACCAAGGUUUCCUAUCCCAUGCUAAUCAGGGUAGGGUAAGUCGGCCCCUAAGGCGAGGCGGAAACGCGUAGUCGAUGGGAAACAGGUUAAUAUUCCUGUACCGACAUGUACUGCGAUGGGGGGACGGAGAAGGCUAGGUGGGCCAGGCGUUGGUAGUCCUGGUGAAAGUUAGUAGGCUGAGGGUUUAGGCAAAUCCGGACCCUUAAGGCCGAGAAACGAGACGAGCACCUACGGGUGCGAAGCCAUUGAUGCCCUGCUUCCGGGAAAAGCCUCUAAGCUUCAGGUACAUGUUGACCGUACCCGAAACCGACACAGGUGGUCAGGUAGAGAAUACUAAGGCGCUUGAGAGAACUCGGGUGAAGGAACUAGGCAAAAUAGUACCGUAACUUCGGGAGAAGGUACGCCACCUUUGGUGAAGACUUCGCGUCGUAAGCUGAAGGUGGUCGCAGUGACCAGGUGGCUGGGACUGUUUAUUAAAAACACAGCACUCUGCUAACUCGAAAGAGGACGUAUAGGGUGUGACACCUGCCCGGUGCCGGAAGGUUAAUUGAUGGGGUUAGCGUAAGCGAAGCUCUUGAUCGAAGCCCCGGUAAACGGCGGCCGUAACUAUAACGGUCCUAAGGUAGCGAAAUUCCUUGUCGGGUAAGUUCCGACCUGCACGAAUGGUGUAACCAUGGCCACGCUGUCUCCACCCGAGACUCAGUGAAAUUGAAAUCGCUGUGAAGAUGCAGUGUACCCGCGGCUAGA
rnacentral:rRNA from 1 species